CACGCCCUAAACGAUGUUUACUAGCUGAUGGGCAGAGAUGUUCAGUAGCGAAGCUAACGCGAGAAGUAAACCGCCUGGGGAGUACGGUCGCAAGAUUAAAACUUAAAGGAAUUGACGGGGACCCGCACAAGCGGUGGAUGAUGUGGAUUAAUUCGAUGAUACGCGAAGAACCUUACCUGCUCUUGACAUGCCAAGAAUUUUGCAGAGAUGCGAAAGUGCCUUCGGGAACUUGGACACAGGUGC
rnacentral:rRNA from 1 species